GGCUGGUCCGAACAGUGGAUAACUCAAUUGAUUGUUCACAGUCAGUUAUAGAUUGAACUCCUCAUUUUACUCCUUCUCCCAUUCUCACUACUGCACUUGACUAGUCUUAA
ensembl:misc_RNA Y_RNA Y RNA